AACGAACGCUGGCGGCAUGCCUAACACAUGCAAGUCGAACGAGACCUUCGGGUCUAGUGGCGCACGGGUGCGUAACGCGUGGGAACCUGCCCUUAGGUUCGGAAUAACUCCCCGAAAGGGGUGCUAAUACCGGAUAAUGUCUUCGGACCAAAGAUUUAUCGCCUUUGGAUGGGCCCGCGUUGGAUUAGCUAGUUGGUAGGGGAAAAGCCUACCAAGGCGAGGAUGCAUAGCUGGUCUGAGAGGAUGAUCAGCCACACUGGGAGUGAGACACGGCCCAGACUCCUACGGGAGGCAGCAGUGGGGAAUAUUGGACAAUGGGCGAAAGCCUGAUCCAGCAAUGCCGCGUGAGUGAUGAAGGCCUUAGGGUUGUAAAGCUCUUUUACCCGGGAUGAUAAUGACAGUACCGGGAGAAUAAGCACCGGCUAACUCCGUG
rnacentral:rRNA from 1 species